rnacentral:lncRNA from 1 species
GGCCAAUAGUGACGCGUGGGCAAUAAUGACGCGUGGCCAAUAAUGACGCGUGGCCAAUAAUAACGUGGCCAAUAUUGACGUGGCCAAUCCAAUCCGUGGCCAAUCGGAACCGUGGCCAAUAUUGACGUGGGCAAACGGGACGCUCUCAUUUUGUUUAUAGCUGUUUGUACCAAUAAUUUUGUUUGUAGUUGUUAAAAGAUUAAAUAUUAAAAUUUUUUUAAAUAACUUGCAUUCGACAUUGAGAUAUCUUAAAUUUUUUGCGGGUCUCGAUUCAGAAUCGUUUGUAGUUGUUUAUAGCAAAAUUACCACUUUGCUUUCAUUUGUAGUUGAACCGUUCGCGAGGUAUCUGUGUUUGCUGGGUGAUAAAUAUACCGAUCAGGGCAGCCCCGAUAACUUUGGCCUUGACAUAUGUUGUCAAGGUCAUCGGGGAGGGCUCCCCUGAUCAGUAUAUUUACCUUAUACCUCACAAACGGUUGACUACAAACGAUUCUAAAUCGAGUCCCGCAAAAAAAUUUAAGAUAUCUCAAUGUCGGGUGCAAAUUAUUUAAAGUUUUAAUAUUCUUUAAUCUAUUAAACUAUAAACAAAAUUAUCGUUACUAUAAUAACAAUUCUUUAUUCUCUUCAGCAAUAUACAGCCAAGAAGGAGACUUGGUUUACAUACAAUCUAAAUCACUCAUCCUUCCAUCCAUCCGCUUUUCUAUUUUUCUAUCUUAACCCUGUACUUAAACUAUAAUACUAUCACAAAGUAUCCUUAACUCACUACAUAUUCCCUCGUCCUGCUAUCCUAUAUUUUAUCUUACUCAUUUAACAUUAAGUAUGGUCAUAGACCAAUAAUAACCUAUAUCGCACAAAAUAUACGUAAACUCAAUAACUACAUGACUACGUGACUAGUGACCGUCGAUACACAAUAAAUACUCUAUUGCCUUGCUAUAAAUAAAGGUCUCGGUAUCACAGUUUUCUUCUUUCUCCUCUUUACAUUCUUUACAAUCUUCUUUCUUAUUCUACAUCUUAAUAUUUAUACCUAACGUAUAUCUUAUUUAUUCUAUCUCUUAAAUUCUUUGACUUGACACAUUUUCUUUAUCCUAUCCAUAUCUUACUCCCUCUGUCCUUUUAUAUUUUCCGCUCUUCUUAUUUUCUCCAAUCUUUUUUCUUCUCUCCAAAACUCCUUCAGGACUUCUUCUUGGUUUCCGUCCAAUUCAUCAUUUUUUAUUCUCUCCAUUCUUUUAGCUCUAUUUUUUUUCUAGCUCUUUAAACCACACAUUCGCCACUCGCCACUUCGCAUUCUUCUAUGAAAUGCAUUAGCUCGUCAUUUCCUUUUCUACAAAAUACGCAUACUCUUCUCUUUUCCUCUAACCAAUACUUAUUGUACUCUACGGAUAUUACCGCAUCUUAAUCUAACUGGUGCUCUUACUUCUACACCAUUACUUUUAUUCUUUAAAUUUUUCCUACUUAGAUACCUAAGCUUAACUUCUAUUCUAUCUAUAUCUUUUUCUUUAUAUUUUAUAUUAUACUUCGCAUUUCUAAAUCUGUUAUCUUUCUCUUGUUUUCGUAUAUCCCUAUCCCUAUUCUACAAUUCUUUAACUAAAUUUCUUUCCUUCUUAUUUCCUAGAAAAUCUAUUGCCCUCGCGCUCCAUCCAUUUCUAUUAUAAUAUUUCUCUCUUUCUAUCCCAUAUUGAUCCAGCCAAUCUUCCUUUUCUCUUUUCUCUCCAGCUUAAUCCACCUAUUCUCCUCCAAUUUCUUUAUUUUUUCCUCAAAUUUCCUAGCUCUAGACCCCCAUUUAAUUUCCAAUUUAUUUAACCCUAAUAUUCUUACCAUUAUACAAGGUGUCAUGCAUAAGGUAUGAAAGUUUUCAUGGAAAGAUAGAUGGGAUCAAGGUGGACAUAAAAAUCUACCAUAGUUUUUAGAUAUCUCCAAUGAUAGUCGAAAUAUAAAUUUUUCAAAUUCUACGGAUGAGAGCGCGCCGAGGGAAGCGCCGAACCGCUCGAGCUGUAGCAUGGCCCACUGUGUCAAGCAUUGUCUGCUGCCGGCGGGGGAGGGAGGGAAGCGCGCCGUUGCUCGUGUUUCGCCGCGCUUCUCCUUCUUCCCUCUCACCGCCGGCAGCCAAUGCUUGACACAAUGGGCUGUGCUAUAACUCGAUCUGCUCAGCGCUUCCCUCGACGCGCUCAUUCGUACAAUUUAAAAAAUUAAUAGUCUUACUCUAUUUUUAGUCAAAAUAACCAUAUUAUUCGCAUAUAUACUAAGAACCAUAUUCUUUCUCUAUCUUAUUCAAUACCUCCUAUAUCUCUUCUGCAUAUAACUCUAAAUCUGCAAUAUACAAAUUGAAAAGCAGUGGGCUCAUCACACAUCCCUAUCUUACUCCUUUCGUCGUAUUGAAAACCUCCGUUCGUCCGUUCUCUAUCCUUAUUGUUACCCUCGUGUCCUCAUAUAUUUUCUUCACUCUUCUAAUCAUCUGCAUCUCUAUUUCUACUUCUUCCAUCAUGCUCCAUAGUUUCUCUCUUUUAAUGUUGUCAAAUGCUACUUUCAGGUCUACAAAGAGAGCCUUACUUUCACUUUUCCUCUUCUCCCUCUGUACAACGUGGUUCAAGAUAAAAAUAUUAUCCAUUGUUCCUCUUUCUCUCCUAAAUCCUCCUUGACUCUCAGGCAGUACACCCAGCUUUCUGUUUCCUUUUCUAACUUAUUUUUUAUCAAUUCUGCGUAUAUCUUGUAUGCUGAACAGAGCAAUGAAAUUCCUCUGUAGUUUUCCAUUUUUUCUUGGCUUCCUUUUUUAUGUAAUGGCACUAUAACGCUUACUUUCCAACCUUCGGCAUGCUACCACCAUCCCAAAUUUGCCUUAUUAUUUCUGUUAGGCCUUUUUUUGUUUUUUAUGUUUUAUGAUAUUUAUUGUAUUAUUCGUUUAUAUAUAAUUUUUAAAGAAAAAAACCAUGGAGACUGGAACACGAGCGAGACAGGCAGAAGAGAUUCGGAUAAUGAUGGAGAGAUCUUCUAAUGAAACAGAAUUUCUAAAUGAUUCAUCGAGUAAUUCUGAAAAUAAUAAUGAAAAAUUGGAGAGUUCAGAGUCGGAUAAAUUGGCGAAGGAAAAUUCAUACAGUGAAAAUGGAAAAGACGACUCUGACGACGAAUUAGAUCGUGAGGCACAAACAGUGAAAAGCACGAUUUUCAAGAAAUCCUACUGCUAUUACAUUAAAAUUUAUUUAUGGUAAUAACCGUUAUAAAUGGUCGCUUGAUUCACCUGCUUCGCGCGAAGGUCGCCUGUUACGGACAAUUUUGGUCCCUAUGGCAUAGGAAAUGGUGCUACUGUGAUGAAUGAAGGCGAGGCGUGGUCUCUAUUAUUACCUGAUAAUUUACUGGAAAAAAUGUUAUUCAUACAAAUGAGCGAAUUGCUCGGAAGAGACCUAAUUUUUCGGAAAAGCUUACUUAUACUUACGAUUUAAACCUUAUGAAAUUGAAAGCUUACUUGCUCUUCUGUAUUUUUCGGGAUUGCGAGGAUCGGUUCGUCGAAAUAUGAAAACAUUGUACGGUAAACUCAGCUCGCCAAUUUAUCGCGCAACCUUGCCAAAGGUUCAAAUUUUUAUUAACUUAAGAUAAAUAAAGAUAAAUUAGCACUUAUCCGCAAAAUCUAGGAUAGUUUUGUCAACUGUAAAAAUAACUGUAAAAAUAACAUUACAAUUGAUGAACAGUUAUUAAGCUUUCGAGGAAGAUGUGUUUUCCGUAUCUACAUAAGAAAUAAGCCCGAUAACUACGGAUUAAAAAUUGUUAUGAAUGACUCUGAAAUCGUUUAUUUGAUCGACAAAAUUCCGUAUGUAGGACGAGUUGCUGUAGAACCGAACGAAGAUAUACCGGACAUUACGUGCGUAAAUUGAGUAAAUCAAUUUCUGAAAAUAAUAGAAAUGUUACUUGUGACAAUUAGUUCACUUCGAUUCCGCUAA